rnacentral:sRNA from 1 species
GCUGGGCGUGGUGGCUCUUGCCUGUAAUCCCAGCAGCUCCGGAGGCUGAGGCAGGAGGAUCACGAGUUCAAAGCCAGCCUCGGCAAAGGCAAAGUACUAAGCAACUCCGUGAGACCCUGUCUCUA